CAAUAAUGUUGUAGCUACUACCGCCACACAACAAUUUAGCAAAUCAAAGUUAACUAUACAAUUGGUUUGAAAUGCCUUUGACUGUCAAAGAUUACACAUGGACACAGACAGAAACGAUUGUUUACAUAAAUGUACCAUUAAAAGGAGUACAUUUCCCCCGUUUUUAUUUGAAGCCUUCCUGUUUGAGCCGAUAGAUGAUGACAAAAGCACAGCAAAAAUUGGAAAUGGAGUUGCAGUUUUCACAUUGCAGAAAAAGGAGACUGUGGGAGAACCUUGUGAUUACUAACAGUCUUCAAGAUUACCAGGCUGCUUUGAAGAUUGAUCCUCAAAAUGAAACUCUGCAAACUGACACAAAAUCAGACAAAUCGUCCAAGGGAGUGCACCCUGUCCUGAAUGAAUAAAUAAAUCUUAAAUACAUUUGGAAAACCCUGUUUUACAAAACACUACAAGGUUCAGACAAACUUUGUAAACUCCUAAAGUAAGACUUACCUUGAUAGUUGGUUGGUGAGGACAUACCUGUCAUGGAUUCAGGAUGUUGGUUACCGUAGCUACCCUCCUUUGCAACUGUUUUGACGCGACAGUUGAUGUAGAUGUACUAGAUCGGAAGGAUCAACCUCCUUGGUUAAUUUCUCUUCAUUCUAAGCCUUGUGUGUAUUAUUAUACAAACCUUACAUAAAGUUGGGCGUAUUGAAUAAAGCUAAUCCAUUGACAUAUAUUCAUUGCAGUAGACUAAAAUCAUGAGUUUAGUAUGUUUGUUUAAAUCUUCGCAUAUAUUUCUCAGCUGGUCAAUCACGUGAUCCAGAAACCAUUUCAUAUUGGGAGCUGUAGUUUCCAACUUUGGCAAACGACAUGUGCUCACUUCAUGCAAGCUCAAAAUUAAAUCUACAAUUCCCCCUCGUCAUGUUACACGUUGUUCAGCCUCGCAAAGAUCUGUGUUGUUAUUAGCGUCAUGACAGCAGCAUUAGCGUCUCGGCAGCAACAUUAAGACUUCCGGUUCGACAUUUUUUCUCCAAAACAAAAGUCUGGGGUAAAACACUAUCUGUAUGAUUUUUUUGCAGCUUUGCAUAGCCAUAGUGCAUAAUGUAAAUUUUUGUAUUAUAACUACAUCAGAAAAUCUGAACUAAAGAUAAUUACUACUCUAUAUAAGAUAAAUAAUGUUAUGUUUUUAAUAUAUAUGUAAUUAUAUAUUAUGUAUAGGACUGGUGAUAUGCUUACAAGUUUGUCUUGCUUCUUACAGAUCCUAUCACGGUUUCAAUUUAUUUCCAGUUUGUUUGAGUUGUAUUCCUGAUUAUAUGGCCUUGUGGUUUAUAGCUUCAUGUGUCUUGUCCUAGUAGCACCCUCUAGUGGCGUAAAGCCUCGUCUUAUCCUAGUUCUGUGAAACCAUAACGCUAUGUGAUGUACCCAGCUGUUGUCUUAUUAUCGUUUGCUAAUAAAUACGAAUUAUUAGGUAAUUUAGAGUUUGUGACUAUUUACCAAUGCAAC
ensembl:lncRNA